rnacentral:rRNA from 1 species
UACGGGGGGAGCAAGCGUUGUUCGGAUUUACUGGGCGUAAAGGGCGCGUAGGCGGUCAGCACAAGUCAGUUGUGAAAUCCCCGGCUCAACCUGGGAACUGCAUCUGUGACUGCAUCGCUGGAGUGCGGCAGAGGGGGAUGGAAUUCCGCGUGUAGCGGUGAAAUGCGUAGAUAUCGAGAGGAACACCUGCGGCGAAGGCGGGUUGCUGGGCUGACACUGACGCUGAUGCGCGAAAGCCAGGGGAGCGAACGGG